rnacentral:tRNA from 1 species
UGUUCUGUGGUUUACUUGGUUAAAGCACCGGUCUUUCGAAUACGGAGUCGUGGGUUCGAAUCCCACCAGAACGC